rnacentral:rRNA from 1 species
ACGUGGGUAACCUGCCUGUAAGACUGGGAUAACUCCGGGAAACCGGAGCUAAUACCGGAUAGUUCCUUGAACCGCAUGGUUCAAGGAUGAAAGACGGUUUCGGCUGUCACUUACAGAUGGACCCGCGGCGCAUUAGCUAGUUGGUGAGGUAACGGCUCACCAAGGCGACGAUGCGUAGCCGACCUGAGAGGGUGAUCGGCCACACUGGGACUGAGACACGGCCCAGACUCCUACGGGAGGCAGCAGUAGGGAAUCUUCCGCAAUGGACGAAAGUCUGACGGAGCAACGCCGCGUGAGUGAUGAAGGUUUUCGGAUCGUAAAGCUCUGUUGUUAGGGAAGAACAAGUGCAAGAGUAACUGCUUGCACCUUGACGGUACCUAACCAGAAAGCCACGGCUAACUACGUGCCAGCAGCCGCGGUAAUACGUAGGUGGCAAGCGUUGUCCGGAAUUAUUGGGCGUAAAGGGCUCGCAGGCGGUUUCUUAAGUCUGAUGUGAAAGCCCCCGGCUCAACCGGGGAGGGUCAUUGGAAACUGGGAAACUUGAGUGCAGAAGAGGAGAGUGGAAUUCCACGUGUAGCGGUGAAAUGCGUAGAGAUGUGGAGGAACACCAGUGGCGAAAGCGACUCUCUGGUCUGUAACUGACGCUGAGGA